rnacentral:rRNA from 1 species
GACGAACGCUGGCGGCGUGCUUAACACAUGCAAGUCGAACGGAAAGGCCCUGCUUUUGUGGGGUGAUCGAGUGGCGAACGGGUGAGUAACACGUGAGUAACCUGCCCUUGACUUUGGUAUAACUUCAGGAAACUGGGGCUAAUACCGGAUAGGAGCUCCUGCUGCAUGGAGGGGGUUGGAAAGUUUCGGCGGUUGUGGAUGGACUCGCGGCUUAUCAGCUUGUUGGUGGGGUAGUUGCUUACCAAGGCUUUGAAGGGUAGCCGGCCUGUGAGGGUGACCGGCCACAUUGGGACUGAGAUACGGCCCAGACUCCUACGUGAGGCAGCAGUGGGGAAUAUUGCACAAUGGGAGGAAGUCUGAGGAAGCAACGUCGCGGGCGGGAUGACGGUCUUCGGGUUGUAAACCGCUUUCGCCUGUGACGAAGCGUGAGUGACGGUAAUGGGUAAAGAAGCACCGGCUAACUACGUG